UGCAACGAAUCCUGUUUAUAUGGAUAUUUCAAUGUUUUAUGUGAAAAACAUAUACCUGCAUAUGGACGUUUCACGGAACUCUCUGGUAAACGAAAAGAAAAAAGAAUUUUUUUCAAAAAAACCAAAGAAUAUUCAAGGUAACGAAUUUAUAUUGAUCAGCCAUGAACAUUAUACCGUAAAGAGAUAAGAAAAAAAUUUGACAUUGAGAAACGCCCCACGCUGUUAUAAUAAUGUUCGAUUAUAGUACUUUCACCUUGCAGCGCGACUGAUUACCGUCAGAAUCAUGCGGCAGAGAUUAUUAAAUUAAAAACGACGUACGUCAUUCAUCACGCUGUUUUUUUUUUUUUAGUCAAGGAAUUUUCCGCUCUACGAUUAGAAUUUCAGUUUUUCUUUUUCUUUUUUUUCACUCGUGUCUCAACCAAAGUUAAACCCAUACUAGCUGAAAAACGUAGCAGAAAGUUUGUAGAUUUUUUUUUUUUAAUUGAUUGAAGAUUUUAUUUCACAUUAUAUAAUAUAUAGCGUAGCGCCAUUAUAAUGUGAAAGAUGUUCGGAAUGCGCAGAGAUUAUUUAAAUUUAAAAAAAAAUUUCCAUCUACGUCAAACUCGUAUCUCUGUUAUCUUCAGAUCGGAGAAAGAAAACAACAAAUUAUCAUAGGGAAUAACAUUAUAACCUGAUACGACACAACAAACGGCACAAAAAAAUGUUAUGUCGUGUGCAGCUUUUGUGAUUGGAAAAUGAAGUAACAAAUGUUAUACAAAACUCGUCGUAGGCUUCGGUGAAACGAACGAGGGAACGCUCUGAAGAAUUUGAAAUCUCGGGGAUUUCAGCCCCGAAAUUUUUCUUUUGAAAUGUAAAUCGCCGGAAACCGUUAUGUUCCGCAUUAUUCCUGUCGUCUGUAUAGAUGUGUAGGUAUUUCAUAGAAAAUUAGCAAUGGUCUUCGAACUUUCACCCGUAAAAUCCCCAUUUAAAAUCUCCGUUUGUACUGGGCAGUAGAGAAAGUAAAAAGAAAAUUUUUCAGUCAUUAAACGGUUUGAGAAAUAAUCCAAGUUCUCCGAACAGACACCUGGACCGGCUAGGUGCUGCCGCGUUCCUUAUCUUGAAAAUACGCUUACACAUAAAUGCAAAUACUAUGUUAAUAAAGUAUAAACUCCAAAUUUUAUCAUCUGUACUAUACAGUCUGCGGUUUUGCGGUGUUCAAAAUAAAAUAUUUCUCAGGUCACUGUCUUCGAGUGUACGAGUAACAGUUUAAUAAACGUCGUCUGCAGCUUCCGAGGAGACGAUCAACUUCCGGGAAUGAGUAUUAACACGCGCUGGACUACCAUGCGAUCGUAGAAAUCACAGGUAUUUCUGAUCGUAGUGCCACAUUGACCCCAGCGAACAACCUGUCCAAUUCAAGCAUCAAACGCAUGAUUGCCGGUAUUUCCGAUGAGGCAAAAUCGUCAAUUAGAAGACGCGCGCCUGGGGCCGAACCUUCGCCCGAGAGAGUUCUUCCUGCACCUUUUGAACGGCAGGUGUUUUCUGAAGGCCCCGAAAUUUGCCUUUAAAUUUUUGGUGCUCCUCAACGCGUCCUUUCUAUACCUGAAGCACGAGCGGCACAACGUACAAUGAUUUCAGUUUGGAAAUAAGGGCGAUAAAAAUUGAUCAGAAUUUUUUAUCGAUGAUGUUAUGAGAGAGGGACAAAGACGAUAGAAAAGACGUUUUGAGCCGAAUUGAGAACAAUUCUGUUUUUUUUUUUUUUUUUUUUUAAGGAUUUUAAAAAAUGUUUCGUUAUAAUAUGAAACUACACAAUGCCAAUAAUCACUCUGCGCGACAACGACGAUUUUGGGAAUAACCAGUGACUAAAUCCCAAAUGAAUUCCAGUUAACGACCGAUG